rnacentral:rRNA from 1 species
GACGAACGCUGGCGGCGUGCUUAACACAUGCAAGUCGAACGGAAAGGCCCUGCUUUUGUGGGGUGCUCGAGUGGCGAACGGGUGAGUAACACGUGAGUAACCUGCCCUUGACUUUGGGAUAACUUCAGGAAACUGGGGCUAAUACCGGAUAGGAGCUCCUGCUGCAUGGUGGGGGUUGGAAAGUUUCGGCGGUUGGGGAUGGACUCGCGGCUUAUCAGCUUGUUGGUGGGGUAGUGGCUUACCAAGGCUUUGACGGGUAGCCGGCCUGAGAGGGUGACCGGCCAAAUUGGGACUGAGAUACGGCCCAGACUCCUACGGGAGGGAGGAGUGGGGAAUAAUGCACAAUGGGCGGAAGCCUGAUGCAGCAACGCCGCGUGCGGGAUGACGGCCUUCGGGUUGGAAACCGCUUUCGCCUGUGACGAAGCGUGAGUGACGGUAAUGGGUAAAGAAGCACCGGCUAACUACGUG